UUUGUACUCCCUCCGUCCAAAAAUACUUGUCGGAGAAAUGGAUAAAAAUGGAUGUAUCCAAAACUAAAAUACAUCUAGAUACAUCCAUUUCUCCGACAUGUAUUUCCAGACGAAGAGAGUAUUUA
rfam:Triticum aestivum genome assembly, contig: Triticum_aestivum_CS42_TGACv1_scaffold_221260_3B